GAGAGAGCAGGGCCCUGACCCGACGAGUGUUUGCGUGUCAUGGAGUUGCUCUCUUGU
rnacentral:pre_miRNA from 1 species